AGCCACCAGCGAGAUUCGAACCCCGACCCCUGGUUUACGAGACCAGUGCUCUAACCUCUGAGCUUUGGUGGC